rnacentral:lncRNA from 1 species
GUAAAGUUUGGUCUCCCCCACAUGUACAGCUUCCCCCAGCCAAUCCCAAUUUUCGUUCUCGUUCCUAUUCUUGCCAAUGAAAAUCUGAUGUCAGUUUGCAAUGCUAAAUAUAAGUCAUAAAAGUACAAGACCUAAAUUUAGUAUGCAAGACUCGCGUUUCUUUUAUUCAAGACUCGUCAGUGACGCUCGAAUCAAGAACGAAAGUUUGUCAGCAUUGUCAAUCUUUUUAACGUUAAAGUACCAAUAGUUC